rnacentral:rRNA from 1 species
AAGCGGUGGAUGAUGUGGAUAAUUCGAUGCAACGCGAAAACCUUACCUACCUUGACAUGUCUGGAAAGCCGAAGAGAUUUGGCCGUGCUCGCAAGAGAACCGGAACACAGGUGCUGCAUGGCUGUCGUCAGCUCGUGUCGUGAGAUGUUGGGUUAAGUCCCGCAACGAGCGCAACCCUUGUCAUUAGUUGCUACGCAAGAGCACUCUAAUGAGACUGCCGGUGACAAACCGGAGGAAGUGGGAUGACGUCAAGUCCUCAUGGCCCUUAUGGGUAGGGCUUCACACGUCAUACAAUGGUCGGGACAGAGGGUCGCCAACCCGCGAGGGGGAGCCAAUCUCAGAAACCCGAUCGUAGUCCGGAUCGCAGUCUGCAACUCGACUGCGUGAAGUCGGAAUCGCUAGUAAUCGCGGAUCAGAAUGUCGCGGUGAAUACGUUCCCGGGUCUU